GACGAACGCUGGCGGCGUGCUUAACACAUGCAAGUCGAACGGAAAGGCCCUGCUUUUGUGGGGUGCUCGAGUGGCGAACGGGUGAGUAACACGUGAGUAACCUGCCCUUGACUUUGGGAUAACUUCAGGAAACUGGGGCUAAUACCGGAUAGGAGCUCCUGCUGCAUGGUGGGGGUUGGAAAGUUUCGGCGGUUGGGGAUGGGCUCGCGGCUUAUCAGCUUGUUGGUGGGGUAGUGGCUUACCAAGGCUUUGACGGGUAGCCGGCCUGGGAGGGUGACCGGCCACAUUGGGACUGCGAUACGGCCCAGACUCCUACGGGAGGCAGCGGUGGGGAAUAUUGCACAAUGGGCGGACGCCUGAUGCAGCAACGCCGCGUGCGGGAUGACGGCCUUCGGGUUGUAAACCGCUUUCGCCUGUGACGAAGCGUGAGUGACGGUAAUGGGUAAAGAAGCACCGGCUAACUACGUG
rnacentral:rRNA from 1 species